rnacentral:misc_RNA from 1 species
AGUAGGCCUCGCAGGAGCGGAAUGAGACUUUACGAUUCCGAGUCCAGGGAAGAUAAGACGGUAGUAUCGGCCACGGUUUAAGGUAAUGAUUAUUGUUAAAAUUACUAUUAUUUUUAUUUUGGAGGUGGUUGUCCGUCAGUGUAGGGCGGUUUUCCGUGAGGAAAUGAUGCCGGCUAUCCAACAAGGAGGGGAGGUUGUUGUUAAGAGAAGGCCGAUGGUGGUCGGAGUGGUUUUGGUGGUGGUAGGGUAAGGAGAAGUAGACAGAGAGAGAGAGACAAUUGAGAGCGAAGAGGGAGAGAACGAUCUUGAAGAGCUUGGAGUGAGUUCUGUCCAUCGUUUUUUUUUUUUAACUCUCUAAGACCAGGGUCAAUCCCUCUCUCUCUAACAACUCCAAAACCCAACUGGAAGUUUCAGUUGGGUUUGAGGAUUUUCAUCUUCUUACCCUCUUUUUCCUGUGGCUGUCGGCGGCGGUGAGGUGAUGCACUUCGCUUUUUUCGGCUCACUGGGCCAAUAGGUAUGCGACGCGUGGUAUUCUACAGCUCGAGGGAAGUUCUUUUACGCACCGAAUAUAUUCAGACUCACUCACUUUCCUUAAAAUGACGGAGAAUUGAUUUGAUUCAAUUUAACUUUUAUAAUUCGA